rnacentral:piRNA from 1 species
UGGUUUUGCUGGCAUGAAGGUAUCAGA